ensembl:lncRNA
GCCGUGAAGGGUGGUGGCCUCGUGCUGGCUCCUGGCUUCACCAUUUACAGCCUGAGAAUCUGGGUGAAGUCCAGGGGGCCUCGGGGAGCCUCCUGCCCCUCAUCUGAUGGACAGGCUGGUGUGGGACCAUCCCUGGAGCAGCUGACAGGAUGCAACCAGAGACAAGAAAGCAUCUAUAUGCCACUGGUGUUCAGCAAAGGGCUUCCCUUCCCAGCCAACAAGCAGCAUCCUUGCGUCUAGGUGUCUGUCAGCAUUCCUGACACUGGAGUGGAAGCUGCACGAGGGCAGAGGUUCUGCCGAGUGAGCGCGGCUCACAGCUGGGCCCUGGAGCCGAGGGGAGCACCUGCACUCAGGAAAUAUUUGGUGAAGGAAGGAAAAGCCUUGGUCCUGUCACUCCCCUGCUCGGAAUCCUCCAACGGCUUCCCGCGGCAGUUAAAAUAUACAGAAUCUAGAUUUCUUCCUCCGCCCCAUAAGUAGGGUGACUAUGUCCUUUAUUGAACAAGGAGAGACGCUUUUUGUGAGUCAAAAAGGAUGCUAUCAACAAUUAUGCUGGAACAGUGGGAGUGAACCAGACCUGUCCCAAGCAAACGGGGGUGCUCGCCACCCCACUCAGAGGUCCCCACGGCACUGGUCUCUGCCCCUCGCCCACAUCCAGCCACACUGACUUUCCAUGGGAAUGUUGCUGUCUCUCUACCCGGAGAAGGCCUUUUCCUGCCUGGAUCUUUCUCAUCACCUUGGUCUCCACUACACUGUGCCCUCAGGGGCCUUCCCCGAUGACCAACCCUCGCUCAGGCCAGGAGCUCCUUUCACCUCCUGGCACUCAUCCCUGUGCUCAGCCCCCGCCCUGAGGCAGCCGGGAGUGAUCAUGAGGCUUGGGGACACAGCAGCUGUCAGCCCCCGCAUGGAUGCUGUGUUCCCAGCACACAUCUCCAAAGCGAAAGUGAAGGGAGCCUACUUCAGCUUGGAGGCGGGAAGUGAAAGGCAGAGGAGAGGAAGGAAGCAGCGGGCAGCAUGGACAGGCCAGGUCAGGGUGCUUCCCGGAACUGUGCGGCGCCGGGCCACCCCAGAAAUCACAUGCCCUCUGACCUCUGCCACUCCGACACUUAAGAAGUGUUUGGAACCAGAAUUUGCGUGCGGAUCAUAAAGCAGAUCCCUCAGGGAGGAGCUCCCAGCAGACAAGUACCCGGACUGCACAGCCAGACAGAAGACACCGGACGUGUUCACGAUUUUUCUAAUGACCUCUGUCCUGAUCUGGGGCUCUAUAAAGUUGUUGCAGCCCCCGUGUUUGUCAUUUGGCUCUGGCUCGAGGUGUAUGCACGCAGGAAUUUGUUUACAGAACGUUGACGACGGCCCGGCCUUCAUGUGGGCACCGACACCACCCUUUUGGCUGCUCCGAGGGACUGGCCCCCCUCCAGGAUUCCCAGACUCAUUUGCUGCCCCGGAUUCUUUAAAACAAAGAAACCUGAGUAUUGGUGUUCACACAAGGUCCUGGCAGAAAACCAAACUCAGCCCCGAUGUUUCCAGUAAAGGGACCAUUUAUGGGGGUGUGACUAGGGUUGAGGGGAUCAAGAAGGGAUGUUGAGGCCCUGAGACUAGUCACGGCAGCAUCGUCACCACCAUGGGGCUCCAGAGGUGAGGCAAGGCAUUGGUGCUGCCGGAGCCCCGCGAGAACUGGACCCAGGGAGGGCAGAGGACAGGCCACCUGACAGCGGCUGUAGUCUUGAGGGCGGGCGGAUGGGGCACUAAGGCAGGCAGAGGGCAGAGAAGUAACAGCCUCUCCUCCUCUCAUCUCCUGGUGCCUACCAUCGGCCAAACCCCACAGGAAGCCAGAGGUGCAGGAGGUCCCCCGUGAAGCCCACAGAGGCCAGCCUCCCGCGGCGAUAGUAGCUUGGUGGCAAUCCUUCUCAUCCUGUACAGCUCUCUUGAAUAGGUCCACCUCUGUGCACGGAGCCUCUUCAUUGGCCCAGCCGGCGUCUGUUGCUCACUGUGGUCCCUCCUCCACCCUCCACACCACAGCAGAGUGACCUGAGGAGCAAGCCUGGCCCGGAGGCUCCCCACGACUCCUGCUGCUCUUGGGGUAUCGAUCAAAGUCUGAACCCCUGCUUUUGGGAGGCUGACUGUCUGGCCCAGCUGACCUCCGGCCUCACCUCUGGUCCUGCCCUCCUGCCUGCUCCAUGUGGUGUGGUCGCUGGACAUUUUUUGGAACCUGGAAUGUCAUGUUCCCUUCCACUUCCGAGUUUUGUGUAUGU